rnacentral:misc_RNA from 1 species
GAAAUGCGAUACGUAAUGUGAAUUGCAGAAUUCAGUGAAUCAUCGAAUCUUUGAACGCACAUUGCGCCCCUUGGUAUUCCGAGGGGCAUGCCUGUUCGAGCGUCAUUACACCACUCAAGCUAUGCUUGGUAUUGGGUGCCGUCCUUAGUUGGGCGCGCCUUAAAGACCUCGGCGAGGCCUCACCGGCUUUAGGCGUAGUAGAAUUUAUUCGAACGUCUGUCAAAGGAGAGGACUUCUGCCGACUGAAACCUUUUAUUUUUCUAGGUUGACCUCGGAUCAGGUAGGGAUACCCGCUGAACUUAAGC